UACGGAGGGGGCUAGCGUUGUUCGGAAUUACUGGGCGUAAAGCGCACGUAGGCGGCUUUGUAAGUUAGAGGUGAAAGCCCGGGGCUCAACUCCGGAAUUGCCUUUAAGACUGCAUCGCUAGAAUUGUGGAGAGGUAAGUGGAAUUCCGAGUGUAGAGGUGAAAUUCGUAGAUAUUCGGAAGAACACCCGUAGCGAAGGCGGCACUCUGGGCCGGUACUGACGCUGAGGAGCGAAAGCGUGGGGAGCAAACAGGG
rnacentral:rRNA from 1 species